GAUGAACGCUGGCGGCGUGCCUAAUACAUGCAAGUCGAGCGAACAGACGAGGAGCUUGCUCCUCUGACGUUAGCGGCGGACGGGUGAGUAACACGUGGAUAACCUACCUAUAAGACUGGGAUAACUUCGGGAAACCGGAGCUAAUACCGGAUAAUAUAUUGAACCGCAUGGUUCAAUAGUGAAAGACGGUUUUGCUGGCACUUAUAGAUGGUUCCGGGCCGUAUUAUCUGGUUGGUAAGGUAACGGCUUACCAAGGCAACGAUGCGUAGCCGAGCUGUGAGGGGGAUCGGCCACUGAGGAAGUGAGACACGGUCCAGAGUCCUACGGGAGGCAGCAGUAGGGAAGCUUCCGAGAAGGGCGAAAGCCUGACGGAGGAACGCCGCGCGAGUGAUGAAGGUCCUCGGGUCGUAAAACGCUGUUAUUGGGGAAAAACAAAUGUGUAUGUAACUAUGCACGUCUGGACGUUACCGGAUCAGAAGGCCCCGGCUAAUUCCGG
rnacentral:rRNA from 1 species